UUUUUUACAUCAUCUUUGCUGAGAUCUUAGUCGUUGGCAGAAGUCUUCAAGAUUAAAGUAGACAACAUCAGAUUAUUUUCAAUAAUUGAAGUACUUUGAACCUACAAUUUAUCUCUUGAACACAAAGGACAAAACAUGAAGCUAGUGCUGAAUCUACUGCUUGUUUUAACCCUGUCUUACGCCGCUACUAUUAUAAAGGUUGCUGACCCCAUCAACUCAUCAAAGAGAAAUGACAACGCGGAGGUUCAAGAAGAGAAACGACUGGAAGAUACCAGCGAGGAGCUCAACAACUUUAUCAACGAUCUGAGCGUGGAGACAGAACUCAACCCUGGUCCGGUGCUCAUUAGAAAGGUCAGAGCUCUCCCAGCGGCCAUAGACUGGCG